ensembl:lncRNA
CUGAUAAAGCUUUACUGGAAAUGGUUUCAGUGUUGGCAACCCCUCCAUGGUUUUUAUUUGUGUUGGUUUUGAGACAAGAGGUUUGUGUUGAAUAAUACAUUUAAUUAACCUUGUAGUUCUCUCUUUAUCAUCUUGUGGUAGUGCUCUAGCAAUGUGAGCAGGCAGUUCUGCUCUCUUGUGCUCACACAUAGCUCAGGAGAAAGACUCACUAAUUCUCCUGGACAUCUCUAAUACAUGGAGCUGUAGUUGGAGCAAUGGGCUGUAAAAUGAAAACAGUGGAUUGUAGUUUUUCAUCUCAAAUCCCAAAAUAUAGGUUUGUAUGUCUCCUGUUGCUAAAUAUGUUCUCUAAGCUUUUCCUUCUGUGUGAUUCCUCUUGCUCUAAGGGAAAAAAACGUGGUUCAAGUCUCAUUUCUGCAAUUCCUGGCAAAGUUGCAGUUUUGUAACUCGACCAAGUAGAAUUGUGCAAAGAAAAUUAUUGCUAAGCCAUUGAAAUGAAGUGAGAAAAUCCAGAGUAUUUCUACAGGGCACAUUUCCCACACACACUCUUUAAAUCUCAGCCAUAACUUACCCCUGGCCCUGCUUGGGAGCGAGCCUGAGCAAGGGGGGAGGCUUUGGGACCAAGCAGUGGGGGCUUCUGGUAAUACAAGAGCGUGUCCUUCCUGGGAAGGCACAGUGUUUUUUCUUAACCAAUAUUGAUUCCAGGAGCUUUUGCAUAUCAAAGUGUGGUGUAAAUUCCUGCUGGAUUCAUUACACUGAAUAAUCAACUAGAAUUUGUCAUCUGUAGUUUUAGAAGUCCUUCCUUUCAACGGCCUUAAGAUUCUGGUGAGAAGAAAGAGUCAGUUCCUCACUGGAUAUUGAAAAUGGAAGAGCAGAAGUAGAUUUUUAGGUGACGUGAAAGCUUCAGAUUGAUUGUCAAGAGCUUGUCCCUGAGGAGCUGAAGCUCCCCCAAAGCUGCUGCACAGGGACUGAAGCCUGGUCCACUCCUUCUGAUUGUGUAACUUGUGUAGUCAGGACUCUUUUAGCUGCCCAGAUGUAGCAGCUUGUGUCCCAAGAUCACUUGAUGCAGAACCUUUUCCUACUUUGACAUUUUUUUCCCCAAGAAAAGCUUUAAUUUGGCACAGGGGGAGAGGUAACAGCUCUAUUGCUUUGAAGAAGGAAAUAAUUCCAAACCCCCUUAUACUGGUGUUUGAUUAUGAAAUCCUUCAGAGCAGUGGUCCUGUGGAGCACCCUGCAGCACAGGAGACUCCACUGAAAGACAUACCGAGACAAAACUGAGCCAUAUCCUAGGUGACAAGUCCUCUUGGUGCCCUGUAUCUCUCCUGUCAGCUGGGUAUUUGAAACCAGUGGUGAUGCUCUCAGUCAGGAAUACCGAAGUGGCUGUUGGUCUGUCUCCUACUGAGUGAGGACAGCAGCUUGAGUCAACACUCAAGACAGAAACCAAAACCCUUUCUCACAAAGUAUCCCGGUCCAGACCCCUGUAACUGAGUUUCUGAUUGCACUUUCUGAUAUUUUGCUUUUCAUAUAACUUCUUGAAACUUAUUUUAUUGUAACUGUAAUUAUUUUUGUUCUCACCUAUUGUGCAUUCUCUGUAUGUACUAAAAAAAAAAAAAGCUUUGAUAUGUAAUUUAAUAAUAAAUUAGAACUCUAA